GGUAGUCCACGCGGUAAACGAUGCCAGCUCGGUGUCUGGGGCCGUUCUGGCCCUGGGUGCCUUAGCUCACGCGGUAAGCUGGCCGCCUGGGGACUACGAGCGCAAGCUUAAAACUCAAAGGAAUUGACGGGGGCCCGCACAAGCAGCGGAGCGUGUGGUUUAAUUCGACGCAACGCGAAGAACCUUACCCAGGCUUGACAUGUAUCUGCAAGCCGGUGAAAGCCGGUCGCCUUCGAGGGUGAUACACAGGUGCUGCAUGGUUGUCGUCAGCUCGUGUCGUGAGAUGUUGGGUUAAG
rnacentral:rRNA from 1 species